UAACGUCUGCGGGUGCGGGGGGUGUCGGGUGUCCGCGGAGGCGCUUUGCGGCCGGUCGUGCGGGUCGGGUGCGGGCGCGCGGGCGGGCGCCCAGGCAGAGGCGCGCACAGGUGAUUGACUGGCCAGCUGGCUGAGGGAGCGCCUGGUCCUCAUCGCUGGCAGGUGGCGGAGCCCAUUUGGGCGGCGGUGGAGGCGGCUGCGGCAGCCUGGGCGGCCGGGCUCAGGAGGCAGUCCUCGGGCCAAGGCCAUGGCCCCGCGGCUGCAGCUGGAAAAGGCGGCCUGGCGCUGGGCGGAGACGGUGCGGCCCGAGGAGGUGUCGCAGGAGCACAUCGAGACCGCCUACCGCAUCUGGCUCGAGCCCUGCAUCCGCGGCGUGUGCAGACGAAACUGCAAAGGAAAUCCGAAUUGCUUGGUUGGGAUUGGUGAGCACAUUUGGUUAGGAGAAAUAGAUGAAAAUAGUUUUCAUAACAUUGACGACCCCAACUGUGAGAGGAGAAAAAAGAACUCAUUUGUGGGCCUCACUAACCUUGGAGCUACUUGUUAUGUCAACACAUUUCUUCAAGUGUGGUUUCUUAACCUGGAGCUUCGGCAGGCGCUCUACUUAUGUCCAAGCACCUGUAGUGACUACAUGAUGGGAGAUGGUAUCCAAGAAGAGAAAGAUUAUGAGCCUCAAACAAUUUGUGAGCAUCUCCAGUACUUAUUUGCCUUGUUGCAAAACAGUAAUAGGCGAUACAUUGAUCCAUCGGGAUUUGUUAAAGCUUUGGGCUUGGACACAGGGCAGCAGCAGGAUGCCCAAGAAUUUUCAAAGCUCUUUAUGUCUCUUUUGGAAGAUACUUUGUCUAAACAAAAGAAUCCCGAUGUGAGGAACAUUGUGCAACAGCAGUUCUGUGGGGAAUAUGCUUAUGUAACUGUGUGCAAUCAGUGUGGCAGAGAAUCUAAGCUUUUAUCAAAGUUUUAUGAACUGGAGUUAAAUAUCCAAGGCCACAAACAGUUAACAGAUUGUAUCUCAGAAUUUUUGAAGGAAGAAAAAUUAGAAGGAGACAAUCGAUACUUUUGUGAAAACUGUCAAAGCAAACAGAAUGCAACAAGGAAGAUCCGACUCCUUAGUCUUCCUUGUACUCUGAACUUACAGCUAAUGCGUUUUGUCUUUGACAGGCAAACCGGACAUAAGAAAAAGCUGAAUACCUACAUUGGCUUCUCAGAAAUUUUGGAUAUGGAGCCUUAUGUGGAGCACAAAGGUGGGUCCUAUGUGUAUGAACUCAGUGCAGUCCUCAUACACAGAGGAGUGAGUGCUUAUUCCGGUCACUACAUUGCCCAUGUGAAAGAUCCACAGUCUGGUGAAUGGUAUAAGUUUAAUGACGAAGACAUAGAAAAGAUGGAGGGGAAGAAAUUACAACUAGGGAUUGAGGAAGAUCUAGCAGAACCUUCUAAAUCCCAGACACGUAAACCCAAGUGUGGCAAAGGAACUCACUGCUCUCGAAAUGCGUACAUGUUGGUUUAUAGACUACAAACUCAAGAAAAACCCAACACAACUAUUCAGGUACCAGCCUUUCUUCAAGAGCUGGUAGAUCGGGAUAAUUCCAAGUUUGAGGAGUGGUGUAUUGAAAUGGCCGAGAUGCGUAAGCAAAGUGUGGAUAAAGGAAAAGCAAAGCAUGAAGAAGUUAAGGAGCUGUACCAAAGGUUACCUGCUGGAGCUGGUCUGUAAGAUAGUCUGGGACAGCACUGUUGCCAUUAAGUGCCUUGUUUCUUUUAUGUUCACAGACGUGUAUGAACAAACUUUCCCCUGCCCUUUCUUAUUUAUAACCCGUUAAUGCCAGCUUGUCCACUAUACAAUUACUAUGUAAACCAACAGUAACUUAAUGUGUAGCAUUCCGUAUAAUUUUCAUUAUCAUGUACUUUUAAAAAUGGGAAGCUCUUAAUAAAUUAUGAGGUUUAGGUCAGCACUCUGCAUAUAUAACUCUUGUAGAUAUUUCUAAUUUGUGAGACAUUAACUUGUUUUUAAAAGAAAAAUCUGAUUGGGCUACUAUGGAAGCAACUCGCCUAAUCUAUUUCCUUGUGUACUUUGUGCCCUAACAGUAUUAAUAGGCAUUCUUUUAUAUGAGUACUAUUUUUAUGAUACUGUUAGAUUAUUUUGAAAUUUAGUAUCAAAUAUUCUAAGAAUAGGAAAGCUUUCUGCUGACCCCUAAUUUCUUAAGAAUUAUCCCACACAGUCCAGCUCAUUCCUUUACUGUGUAUGUUUAUUCAAGUUUAUCUAAUGCCUCAAAAAGGAAACCUCAACUCCUUAAGGCUGUUAUGCCAUUUGUAAUAAUGUUUUCUGUCAUUUCAUAGGCAAUUCCCCAUACCCAACUCCUACUUUAAAAAGAGGCAGUUUUACUAAUUUUAGAAAAUAAAUACUCAAGCAUAAUUGUACUUGUGGUUUUGUCUUUUUGAUAUCUCAAUUUUCCAUUACUGGUAUUACUUUAAGCAAAAGAUGAAUAUAAAUUGCUACAUCUGUAAGAAUAUCUCUCAAAAGUUCUGUCUAAACUAUACCUUAAUUUGAUUCUGACCUUUCUUUGUAACCUGUUACUCUCACUCUGUUUCAAGGGUUGGGAUUAUCCUAAAGAAUUAGACCGACCUCAGUUUGAUUGGAAACAAUUUGGAAAUGAACAUGUAAUUCAAAUCUCUAAAUUUAUUCAAAGGAGUUGGUACCUAGAAAUUUGUUUUCUGAACCUUAUUCAUGGUUUCCUGUAUUCACUGGACAAAAGAAAGCAACUUACUGGGUCUAUAAACUAAAAUGCUGUUUUGAAUUACUCUUUAAAACUGCAUGGUCCAAAGAUGUUAUGUGUCAAGUUUACACUGUGCUCCUCUUGCCUGUUUUCAUUCCGUCUAUAAGAACCAGUGCUUGUGUUCUUCGAAUAUGUAUAUAUGUUAUCAAUACUCUUACCAAUUAUGAGCUUUAUAAUUUUUUCCCAUUUAUAGUAACCUUAUAUGGUAGUAAGUCCAUGUUUUCCUAAAAUAUUGUCAGAUCUCAAAGCUAAUGACCAUGGUUUUGUGCUGCCAAUCAAAGUCUUGUUAUGUGUUUUCUAAAUCUUAACCUUUGUGAACAUAUUAAAAGAAGGGUCAUUUAUCCUAAAAUAUAAACCUCACUGGGGACCUGAACCCUUUUGGCCCUUUUUAUUUAAGUUGAAAUAAAUUAUCUCUAAAUAAUCCUAAAUUAUCUUUAGGUAAGUUUCAAAUAUUUUUCAUAACAUGAUCUUUCUAGACUUUAUAACUUUCCAAAACAAAUUCCUAUUCAAAAUCCAGGCAUUUAAAACUAUAUAUAAAUAACUUUGAACCAUAGUAUACGUUUCCCUUUGGUAAAUAUUUUAACACUUGCUUUCCCGCUUCGUCAGAUGCUGAGAUUUUUAUACAGUUUGUUUGUUAUCCCAACUUAACAGAGUUCUUACUCCUGUUUGUUAGUUGGAUUAUCCAUGCCUUUGGCAUCACAAUAAUGGAGAACAUCUGUGAGAACCUGCCAGGCGUCUCUCUCUAGUGCAGAAACAUCUGUAGUGUAAAAACCUUCCACAAGCAGAAUCUACUUUAAUUAUUGAGACUUGUGCUAGACCCCGAUUGUUAGGGAAGCCCUUGGUAGAAAUUGAUACAGCUCUUUCAAGAUUUUUCUAAUCUUCAUAUCUUACAUCAAUAGCCUUGAGAUUACUAAAAGUUUUAACCUAUGGGACUCUCCUUGGGAAAAGAUUAGAUAUGCUAAGACUUCUAUUUUGCUCUCUGGGAUAGGGAUCAUUCCAUACCAUUAUACAUUGUAAAAUGCCACAACCAUGUUAACCUAUGCUGAAUCUUAAGGUCUCCACAUUUAUAUAUUGUGUGAAUAUAUGAUUAACUUUUCUAUAUCUCUUUUCUUCCAAAAAAGCUCAAAAUGCUUCACAUAUCUUAUCUUUUACAUUCAACAACAUCCCUGUGAGGUAGGUAGAAGGCAGGUAUUAUUACCUUCAUUUUACAAAUAAAAGAUCUGAAGCAUAGAGAGUUCAAGUGACUUGCUCAAGUUCAGUUUCUUGGUGGCAGAACUUGGUCUCAACUUGUAGUCACGAGCUCUUCCUCUGCAGCUGCAUCAGAGCUGACCAAUCAGUUAGGAGUCUCUCAGUUUAUGAUGUACAGUUUUAGCACAAAUAAGGGAUCCAACAGUUCUGGAUUUUGUUUUUGUCAAAAUUGAAAUGUUUUAUGUUAAACUUAAGACGGAAGUUAGUUUUUAGACUUGUAAAUCUCAGGGAAGUGUAAAAUUGGUCAAAAUGGGCUUUGAGUUGAAUUGUCUAUCCCUCAGAUCUCAUCAGAAGUAGUAUCAUAAUACAAAUAUAUAAAUUCAACCUCUGUAUGUUUUCUUCUAUGUUUUAUGCUGGGACUCACUGGAGAUCUUUAGCCCUAUGAAUUUGUCUCUCUGGAGUGGCUGCAGAAGUGGUUGGAUGAAUCGACGCCCACCAAGCCUAUUGAUAAUCACGCUUGCCUG